rnacentral:misc_RNA from 1 species
GUAGGUGAACCUGCGGAGGGAUCAUUAACACUAUUUGGCUUUGUCAUCAUGUUUCACGAUAUGACGUCAAAGUUCAAAUUUCCACACACAUUGCAAAUGAGUUGGUUACUUCCGUAAAAAAGAAGUAACUGGCCUUUACAUAACUGCCUCGAGGGUAAGGUUGCUGACGCGACGAGUGAACGCUUUCUUUCGGGAAAACGUAGCUCCGCAUCCGUCCCUCGACGUGGUUUUUUUGGGAGAUGUGACACUC